AAGAUUUUUGAAAUUACCGUUAGUAUAUAAUAUAAUUAAGUGCAGAAAAUGAUAGAGCGAUUAUUAAUUCCUGUUUCAAAUUUUCACCAAGGGAUACCACCAUAUGUGAUUGUACCUUUGUAAUGAUACGGCGCUACCGACAUCGUAUCUGGGAAUCAUCUUACUAUUUAAUAAAUCAAGAAAUCAAUCUAAUCGAUUUUUUAUUCGUUUUCUGAUCUUGAAACUAUAAUGUUAUUUGAUACAGGCAUGUACAAGCACAAGUACAUUUUAGAGAUGCCAGAGAUUAUUCAGUAGGAAUAACACAAUAUGAGGUAAAAAUUGGAAAAAUUGAAAAAAUUGUAUGUAAAAUGGAAAAAAGCGAAGAAGCUGUAAUUGUGACCGAGCAACGACUGUUGGCCGAAAGGAACAGUCUUGUAGAGGCUAUCUUUUAUAGCGCGAUAACCCUACAGUGAUAUAAAAGGUCGCAUUCCACGAAGAUGACUAUGAACAUGGUCAGAUAGUGCAUAUUGUCGAAAGGAGAGCAGGGUCCUGAUACUUUCGUCCUUCGCGAUUAGCUUCAUGGAGUGUUUUCCGACUUCCAAACUCGAUGACACUGACAUGUAUGGAUUUAUUAUGCAGUUGGAGCGGGCUGUUACAGGUGCGAACCGGAUCGAUAUUGGAAUGUCAAAUAGCACGCAUGUAAAGCGUCAUAUAUGCUAUGCUAUUACCAUUUUUUGAACAAAGACAGGUGACUUAAGUUUAUGAAAAAUGAAGAAUAUACGUUUCAUAUAAAUUAUAUUAAAGACGAAAA